rnacentral:rRNA from 1 species
GCAUAACGCGAAGAACCUUACCUGGCCUUGACAUGCUGAGAACUUUCCAGAGAUGGAUUGGUGCCUUCGGGAACUCAGACACAGGUGCUGCAUGGCUGUCGUCAGCUCGUGUCGUGAGAUGUUGGGUUAAGUCCCGUAACGAGCGCAACCCUUGUCCUUAGUUACCAGCACGUUAUGGUGGGCACUCUAAGGAGACUGCCGGUGACAAACCGGAGGAAGGUGGGGAUGACGUCAAGUCAUCAUGACCCUUACGGCCAGGGCUACACACGUGCUACAAUGGUCGGUACAAAGGGUUGCCAAGCCGCGAGGUGGAGCUAAUCCCAUAAAACCGAUCGUAGUCCGGAUCGCAGUCUGCAACUCGACUGCGUGAAGUCGGAAUCGCUAGUAAUCGUGAAUCAGAAUGUCACGGUGAAUACGUUCCCGGGUCUUGUACACACCG